rnacentral:rRNA from 1 species
GACGAACGCUGGCGGCGUGCUUAACACAUGCAAGUCGAGCGGAGCGGCGAACGGGUGAGUAACGCGUGAGUAACUGCCCCCCUCUCUGGGAUAACAGUUGGAAACGGCUGCUAAUACCGGAUAGUGGGGGAUGACUCGCGUCCUAUCAGCUUGUUGGUGGGGUAGUGGCCUACCAAGGCGACGACGGGUAGCCGGCCUGAGAGGGCGACUGGCCACGAUGGGCUGAGAUACGACCCAAACUCCUACAGGAGGCAGCAGUGGAGAAUAUUGCGCAAAGGGGGAAGCCCGGAUGCAGCAACGCGCGUGCGGGAUGACGGCCUUGGGGUUGUAAACCGCUUUCAGCCAUGACGCGGUAGUGGCAGAAGAAGCACCGGCUAACUACGUGCCAGCCGCCGCGGUAAUAC